UACGUAGGGUGCAAGCGUUGUCCGGAAUUAUUGGGCGUAAAGAGCUUGUAGGCGGUUUGUCGCGUCUGCUGUGAAAUUUCGGGGCUCAACCCCGAACUUGCAGUGGGUACGGGCUAGACUAGAGUGUGGUAGGGGAGACUGGAAUUCCUGGUGUAGCGGUGAAAUGCGCAGAUAUCAGGAGGAACACCGAUGGCGAAGGCAGGUCUCUGGGCCAUAACUGACGCUGAGAAGCGAAAGCAUGGGGAGCGAACAGG
rnacentral:rRNA from 1 species